ensembl:lncRNA
AGCACGUGAUAAAGUGAUAGUAAUGUCUUAGAGGGUAAUAUUUCUAUGUGCACUAUUGGAAACAACUCAGUGUAACAAGUGUCACCUGGCAGUUUGUUGCUCUCUGCCAGGUGAUUGGCUGAAAGAGCUGUGAAAAGGUAGUGGGUGUGUGGGGUGAAGUCAGCGCUCUUCUGUGGAAGAAACCAGAGGCAAUUAAUUCACUCGGGUGCGAGUGGGUAUACUGUCGUGUGACCACCAAUUUUAAUAGAAGAAUUGAUCAAGCCCUAGAUUGACUGCGCGCAGGGAAACUGAUCAAUAUUCUGUGCUGUCUCUGCUGUCCUUUUUUCGUUUUUUUUUUUUUUGAUUGAUUUGUAAUUUUCUUUUGGUUAGUCCGUCCAGCCGUAAAGGCGGUUAUUGAUUGAGAGUGAGUUGUGUAAGGGCGGACUAACCUCCCUUUUUUGCUUUAUUUGUUAAAUUGUUUGUGCCACUUCCCUUUGUCUCCCAGAUUGCAGGCCAUGCAUAGCGCUGAUUCCCAGCUGCGCUGAGACCUGAAUUGUUUGCAGUGCGUGUCACGGUUGCAGUGUCGUUAAGCGGGGUGUGACGGGUUGCAGUGUAGUUCUAUUCGCACAGUUAGUGUGGUAAGUCUCAGGUGCAGCUGGGAUAGCAGCAGGAUGUGUUGUAAGUCCUGUCUGGAAAUAAGGGGAAUUUGUAUGUUUAAUUAAUGUAAUAAAUAAAUGAUCAAUUUAUUUCUUUGCCCCGUUUACUCGUACCUUGUCCUCGGUUACAUCAGCAUUGUUAUCAGGCCUAUUCUUAUCUGGUAAGAGAGUAACAUGUGAUUCUGUCACCUGAGGUCCAAUAGUGCAUGGUGAAAGUGAUCUUAAAGCACUGCUAAACCCUAUCCCAACUUACGCCAUCUCCACAUUGUCACAAGGUAAAAAGAAGUAUAUUUGUUUAUUUUUGUUUCUUAUUGUCAUGUUUUGUCAAUGUUGGGACAACAUUUAUUUAGCAGGGGAGGAAUGUAGCACUUGGUAAAGUGUAAAGCUAAAAUAUGUCUAGAACAUUGCCUAAAUCUGUUGGCAUUUGUGUUAUUCAACUAUAUGUUUGGAUUUUUGGCUGCUACAUGUUUUCCACCAGUAGAGGGCAGUCACAGCAAAAAGAAAAGAAAACAAUGUUCUGUAAAAAAAAAAAAGAAGAAAAAAAAGAAGAGUAUUCUUGGGUUCUGUAUGUGAAAGCCACGGUUCUGGAGUACCCAAAUAAACUCGGUUUUGCUGUUUACACCAAGUUGUCCUGGAGUGGUGUAACAGUAUCAAAUUCACGAUGAAUUCAGAUGUGUGGUACUAUUUAAAGCUAGUGACUCUGUAGCUGCAGAGUCACAAGUCUA